rnacentral:rRNA from 1 species
UCAUGGCCCUUACGAGUAGGGCUACACACGUGCUACAAUGGCGUAUACAAAGAGAAGCGACCUCGCGAGAGUCAGCGGACCUCAUAAAGUACGUCGUAGUCCGGAUUGGAGUCUGCAACUCGACUCCAUGAAGUCGGAAUCGCUAGUAAUCGUAGAUCAGAAUGCACGAGGCGCGAC